CCCCUAGAUGUUCUGGGCCGCACGCGCGCUACACUGAACAGUUCAACAAGUCUUAACCUUGGCCGAUAGGUCUGGGUAAUCUUUGAACGCUGUUCGUGAUUGGGAUAGACCUUUGCAAUUAUGGGUCUUCAACGAGGAAUUCCUAGCAAACGCAAGUCAUCAGCUUGCAUUGAUUACGUCCCUGCCCUUUGUACACACCGCCCGUCGCACCUACCGAUUGAAUGGUCCGGUGAAAUCUCGGGACGGCGGCUUGGUCGCUUGCGUCCGACUGCUGAAACUUGAUUAAACCAUAUCAUUUAGAGGAAGGUGAANUCGUANCA
rnacentral:rRNA from 1 species